rnacentral:tRNA from 1 species
GGGGCUGUAGCUCAGCUGGGAGAGCGCAUCGCUGGCAGCGAUGAGGUCGGGGGUUCGAUCCCCCUCAGCUCCACCA